CUGACACGCUGCCCCGAAUUCCACCAUCACUCAUGCCCCUUCUUAGGACAAGGGCUUCCAUUAAAAUGUAAAUAUUUUGUCUGGGAGAGAGAACAUUUUGCUUUAUCACUGAGGGAAAGAAAGAUGGAAACUUGCUUCUAUCGAGUGCCUUCGGCAGGAGACGGGCACCCUCACGCUGUCCUGGAAUCCACAGGCAGCCUGGCGAGGCGGGGGAGUUACCCGGCCUGCGGGUGAGGGAAUGGAAACUCAGGAGGGCCAGGGGUUUACCCAGCGCUCGGCAGAGCCGGGACACGAGCCCAGAGCCGACUCCACCCCGCUCUGCUCACGGCACCCCUCUGCUCCUCCUCGUCCUUGGCAUGCGGCUCCCUGGAGGGUGAGAGGAGACAGGGCAGGGUUCUGGGGUCCAGAGCGCAGCCCUGUCCGCAGCCGCCUGAGCAGCCACGUCUCGGCUGGGAUUUCUCCUUCUCUGUGGAUGCUGUAGCAGCGGCACUGAAUCUGCACGCCUCAGGGCUGUUGUGGGGGCAGGAGGUCUGGGCAUCGAGAGCCCCGCUCCCGACCCAGGGACACCUCUGCCCCUUCUCUGAUGCUGGCAGCAGCAGGAGAGGACACUGGCUCCCUGUCUCCUCUUCAAGUGGUGGAGCAGCCGGCCUGUGCCUAGUUCAGGAACUACACAGUGGAGGCCAAUUUGAGAAUCCCCAUUUGAACCACCGGCCUUUUGCCCCUCUCUGAGGCCCAAAGCAAGCCCCUGGCCUCCUGUGUGCCUCAGUCGCCCUGUCUCUAAAAUGGGCAGCCCAUCAAAUUCACGUGUCCUUGACGGAGAGGAGUCUGGAGAAAUAACCGGUCCCUGACCUAGUGGGAAUUGCGUGGUGUGCUAAGGAUGAAAUGUGCAGGCCACCAGCCGAGGGCUGUCAUCACAGGACCUGACCUGAGAACGCACGUCUGCUGAGGACAGGCAGGUCAUGCAGCCGCAGGAAGCUUGAACUAUAGGUUCUCUGGGCUGCUCGUGGGCUCGCUCUGAAAGCACGCAAUGUGGCUGGGCCUCCCUUCUUGUGGCUGCAGCUCAGGCUGGCCAGGACUCUGUCCCAUGCACCUGCCUCUGAGGAAGCCAGCAGGAACUGACGCCUCUCAGCAACCUCAGCCCACUUUGCAGAGGAGGAAACUGAGAAGCAGGGAGUCAAGUCACUGGCCCGGGGUCCCACAGCCAAGGUGGUCAGAUCUGCCUGACACAGACGCCAGACUGCCUCCACGGUUAUUACCAUCAUCACAAUAGAAUACUAAUAACACUUGUAAUUAUUAUUAUUAUUGAGGGCAGAGCUCCAGGCAGGCAGGUCGGGUGACUUCGUCAUUGAGGCCAGGUGCCUGGCCAGUGCCCAGAACUAGGCAGGCUCCUGUCCCAGCUGGCCCCAGGACUAUGCUGAAGACGUGAGGCCCCAUCGUGUGGAUUGGGUUGACGGCAUGCGGCUCAGCCCCCUCCGUCAGAUCCUGGACUCAGGCAGCACCGCUGCCCGUCUACUCCUGGUUGCCUUUAGCGAUGGAGCCAGUGGCGGUUUGCGAAUCAGAGCACUGAGAACUCAUCCAGAGGCACACAUUGCUUUAUAAGUCACAGCCCCCCGCCCCUCCAUGCAAUCCGAGUAUUCCUACUCCAAAAGGUGGUGCUGCUUAUGAGCAGAGACUGGGUCAGUCUGCCUGGGCUCACAUUCUGGAGUUCUGUUCACUGCCUCUGUGACCCUUGACAAGCGACUUCACCCACUGCUCUGUUUCCUCGUCUGCACAACAGUGCACAACUCAAGGUCAGUGUGAGGCUCGAGGGAGCUAGAACUGUGUCCGCUGGGAGCUCAGGAAACAUUUGCAUCAUUGCCUCUCCGGAUAGGUACAGCUGAAGAAGGAGCUGUCUGUCCUGAGGCUAGAGGAAACGUGGGCUCCCUGAGAUGUGAUUGUAGACUGACUUUAUGGUGAUUUUGACUCCAUGAAGUGAGUGGCCUCAAAUGUGUUCAAUGUGUGGCUCAUGUGGCUGGGACAGUCCUGUGGCCCCAGCAGGCACUGGCUCUGGGCUGGUGAAGCCAGAGGGCUUGCUGCCCAUGGGAUCCAGGUCUGUGUGUUUGAGAUCCCCCAGCCUCCUGGUUCCCCUGGAGAUGAGAGGCCAUGGUGGAACCUGCCCAACAGGUUUGCUGCUUCCCUGCUCCGGUCAGGAUUCCAGCUCCAUCUGGAUCUGGUCUGUCCUGCCAGCUGGGACCCAGGGAAAGAGGUGGAAACUGCUCAAGACCCAUUCCCGGGGAGUGGAAACUUCUCAAGACCCAUUCCCGGGCUCUGGGAUGUGGCUCGCCCAGCUGCCCCAGCUCUAGGCUUGGUGGUCAAGUCUGCAGCCCAAGGAGACGACGCUGCAGGCACGGGGUCGAGAAGGGCAGAGGCAGCCCAGACCGAGGACCAGCAUGAGCAGAUGCAGGAGAGGUGGAUUUGCAAGGUGCCUGCGGAGACAGGCAAAUGGAUGGAGCAGAGGCGAAGGGGUCCGCCAGGGACCGAGGUUCCCCAGGGAGUGUUGCUAAGGCAGGCUGGGGCCCAGGAGUCCAGGCGGAGCAGCCAAGGGCCCAGGAGCUGAGGGGGUGGGGUGGGCCAGGUGGGCUGCGGCUCCGAGCUUAGGAUAGCCUCUUCCUCUCUGUCUUCCCUGAGUGAAAACAACAAAAGGAUUGCUUACAACCUUCUGUUCUUUUCAGGAGAGGUGAGUGGGGUCAUAGGUGACCUCAGCUUCUUGUCCCCGUCCGUACUCCUGGACAAGGAGGAUGGCGGAAGGACGGAGGACAAGGCAGUGCCUCUGGAAAUCCAAAAUGCCAAAUCCCAGCCCAGAUGCCUCCCUCCCACCGAGGAGCCUCUGGUGUCCUGGUUGCCUCUGGACGUGGUGUGGCCACCAGAAGAACCGGGCAGCUCCAAGGGGCCCCCUGCUGGCCUGAGGAGUUGCUGCGGCCACAAAGAAGAGGUGCGCUCACUCCCCACACCCACUGGCCCAGGACCCAGACCACGCCAGGCACUUCGCUGGGAGCCACCGGGAAACAGCAUCUCCCCACAGCCCUGCGAGCUGGGCCUUUCACAGAUGUGAGGCCCUGGAGGGGACUGUCCCGUCAGGCUGCUCCCAAAAAUCCACUGUCAGGGAAACAAGCAAGAGGCAGAACAUGAAUAAAAAUAACAUGAAAGUGUAAUUAUUUAAAAAAUAAAGAGCAAAGGUGCUGGUGCAAGCAUAGACUCUGGA